rnacentral:other from 1 species
AGCUUUUAUGAGGUUAUCAGCACUUUUCCUUCAUUAGCGGGAAAGAGUGAGGAAAGUACCAUACAGCAGUAAUUUCAACUUUAAAAAGACAGGUCUGAGUGCCUGGACUUGCUUUUUCAUUUUACAACAUCCUCAAAGAAGUUCAAUCACUUAGGAUGCCUACUCACUCCUUUUAAGAGAAAGAGUAACUUGAAAAA